rnacentral:rRNA from 1 species
CAUGGCGGCGUGCCUACACUGGCAAGCCAAGCCGAAGCAUCAACAAAGAAGCUUCCGGAUGGAAACGUCACGUGACCGAGCGGCGGAACGGGUGAAGUAACGCGUGGGUAACCUGCCUCAUACAGGGGGAUAACAGUCAGAAAUGACUGCUAAUACCGCAUAAGCGCACAGUACCGCAUGGUAGUGUGUGAAAAACUCCGGUGGUAUAAGAUGGACCCGCGUCUGAUUAUCCAGUUGGCGGGGUAACGGCCCACCAAAGCGACGAUCAGUAACCGACCUGAGAGGGUGACCGGCCACAUUGGGACUGAAACACGGCCCAAACUCCUACGGGAGGCAGCAGUGGGGAAUAUUGCACAAUGGGGGAAACCCUGAUGCAGCAACGCCGCGUGAGUGAAGAAGUAUUUCGGUAUGUAAAGCUCUAUCAGCAGGGAAGAAGAUGACGGUACCUGAUUAAGAAGCCCCGGCUAACUACGUGCCAGCAGCCGCGGUAAUACGUAUGGGGCAAGCGUUAUCCGGAUUUACUGGGUGUAAAGGGAGCGCAGACGGCAGUGCAAGUCUGGAGUGAAAGCCCGGGGCCCAACCCCGGAACUGCUCUGGAAACUGUGCGGCUAGAGUACUGGAGGGGCAAGCGGAAUUCCUAGUGUAACGGUGAAAUGCGUAUAUAUUAGGAGGAACACCAGUGGCGAAGGCGGCCUGCUGG